UUUUGCUUGGCGGUGUGUGCAACUCUGGUGUCUCUUAUAUUCCAGGAAAUAUGGAAGUGGACGCCAUGUGGCCGUGCCCAAUGGGAAGGACAGAGAUAUUCACAUUCGCUGAGAUAAAACUGCAGCACCUCGUUUUCAUGCACCGGUUUUGUCCUCCUCCCCGUCACCACGACGACGGCCACCCUCGACUCCCGGCGGAGCACAGCGAGGAGCCCCGUAAUCACCGAUGGACUGAUGUCAUGGUAACGGCACUGCUAAUGGUUGCCACAGUUUCGAGCUGCAGGGAGUCAGUGCUGUGAUGCUCGAGUGGUGACCAUCGCUGCUCUCCAUGAAGUCUCCUCUGAAAAUCAGCCAUGAGCUUCACCUGAUCCAGGUCAGAUCUCGGCGCUGCUGUUCCAGCACUCAUUAUCUGCGAAUCUCUUGUGUGGGUUUUGGACUUGUUGAUUUCCUGCAGUUCCUUCACAGAGUUUGAAAAACACUGACAUUCUCUGAGUUCCCCUGAAAAUCCUCUCAUGUUUCAUGACAUAAGCAUUUUCACAAAGUCAAUAUUCAGCAUCGUAAAUUUUAAUAUUUAUUUCACUUUUUUUCAGAGCCAUUUUUACAUCAAGCGACACAUGGGUCGUUUGCCUAAAAAGUUUAGAAGGACUUACAUUAAGUGACUAAAUAUAGAUCUUUCAUAUUAAAAAUGCAGAUUUUUCUUUUUCACUUUUAAAUAUGUACACAAAUAUUUCUGUUAAAUAAUUUACGGGUUAAAAUAAUGACGUAAAUUAAGACCCUGAUACUGAAAUGACACCCUUUACGCCAUUUCACAGAAAUGUUUACAACCUGCACCCAGUUUUACGUAGCUCUGGGAGCAUAAGGACUAAAACUUGCUAGCGGCUUUGGCUGCUGGUUUACACAACAGUUAGCUUAAUGUUAGCUAGAUUACUAACAAUCCUAGUGAACCUGGCUAAUGUUUGAGAUUACAUAAUAGUUAGCCUAAUGUGAGCUAGGCUAACAGGAAACCUAACUAAUAAUUUUAAUUACAUAAUACUAUUUAAUUACAAAUGUUAACCUGUCUAAUGGCUUUGAAUAUGUAUUAGUUAGGCUGCUGUGCAUUGUAAUGUGUCCCAUCCUCAGGCCCAGGGUUCCUGGUAUAGAUGCCGGAUUCACAGCAACCCUGACCGGGAUGAAGUGCUUACUGAAGACGAAUGAAUAAAUAAAUAGUUUCCUAGCUUGCUAGCAACCUUGGCUCUUGGUUUAUACAUUACAUUUAGUCUAACAGUAGCUAGUUUUCUGUCAGAAUUGUUCCGCGUUUGAGUGCUGUGAGGAAAACACUCGGAGCCGAUGAUGUGGGAAAUUCAGGAUUCUGGAUGAUAGACGAGUUUAUGAGGUGUCCCGUGGUCCAGUGGAGAAGUUUCUCGAACUUCAGUCAGUCCGUAUGAUUUAAAGAAAAAAAAAUAUUUCAGUUGUUUCCGUUUGAUAAGAAUGAGCAGCAGUGACAUGAAGUCUAAAUGUGAACAAAUACAGCAAACGAUUUUCCACACAAGUGCAAGGAUUUUCUUUUUGCAAUUUUCUUUUUUUAUUAACCCAACAAAUAAAAACUCUGUGCUUUCAUAUUGACUUCAGUUGACACAGAAUGAAGUCGUAUUCACUAGUUUAUCAUCUGACAUAUAUGAUGUUUUGAGGAGCCCCAGAAGUGCAGCAUUGGUUACAGGCUUAUAAACAAACAGCCUAAAGCUUGAUAUUGUUUAGUUUAAUUACAUGAUAGGAUAGCAUUAGCUAGAUUGUUAAUGAAUCCGGCUAGAUA